AGCUAUUUUGCGCGUGCUACCAACUGUAGAUUAUUGUUGGCUAAUUUUCGCCAACCGAACGUUCUCAACUUGUGAUGUAACUGCUGUAUCAUACAAAUUUCCUAAGAAUAGUAGCAAAUCAUGUUGUCCCCACAAAAAAAAACUGUUUUGACAAAUUUCCUAAGAAUAGUAGCAACUCAUGUUGUCCCCACAAAAAAAAAACUUGUGAUGUGCCGGAUCGACGUCGUCCAAGCCCCAGGGUGGGCUCUCCCUGCAGCCCCAAGGUCGGUCUCUACUCUCCCCCAAGGUCGUCUCUCUCGCCGGCGUGGGUUGUUCUUGCCUGCUCAUCGCCGAUUCCCCCCUCCUUGGACCCGGAUCUGCCGUCUCCUGGGUCGUAGCGGCCGUAUUGCUGGUGCAGGUCGCCGUGCUUGCACACCGCCGCCGGGUACCUCCCGUCGCUUUGGUCGCCUCUACUGCCCCUCCUGUCCUCGGAUCUCAGCUCCAUGGGCACAAGGUGGCUGCUUUCGUCGUCUGUUGGUGGUGGUGCCUAUUACAGUCAUGGUUGUCUUUGCUCUUGGGUGGCCUUCUUCUUCUUGUUUGUGCCGUGCAGGUGUGCUUCAUCGUCGACAUGGAGUGCCCACCGCCGCUGCGUUGCCUUUCUUCUAGACCUUCGUCACGAUUGUGUGGAGUUGGGCUUUGGGGGCUACGGGUGAAAACUCUGCCCCGGCCUUCGCCGGUGCCGGCAACGGCUGCGUCCACGGAUGUAGCUCACCUUGCUGGGACAUUGCUGAGGCCACCAAGUCCAUUUGAUUGAUUUCGCCAUGUGAAGACUUAGUCCGCUCCUCCUGGACGGACGGAUGAUGGCGGCCUAUUCAAGGUUCUAUUAUCUUAGGCCGUGUUAAUGGGUUGUGGUGGUGUGGAUUUCUUUCUACUGUUGUUGUGUUUGAGUUGCUUGUCUGUUGCCACCAUCUAUGUGGUAACCCUCGUAACAAAUUGACAUAAAGGAAUUGAAACGAAAAUAAAGUUUUUUUUUUUA